AAUAAUGUGAGACAAGGUUUCCUGUCAGUUUAAUGAGUCGGUUGCUGAUUUGCUGAUAUGUCUUCAAGCCAUUUCCUACUUACACAGCUGGGUGUGCUACAUUUCUCUGUGCAUGUGUUUGUGAAGCUCAAGGUGGUUUGGAGGUACGUCAAGAGAGAAGAGGGAGGAAUACAAGGAAGAAGAAGGUGUCAGGCACUUUAUGCCCCUCCCCCCAUCCAAGGUGCCUACACCACAGCCAGCACUUAAACAGAUGGAUGAAACACCAUCGUCCUCCUCUCCAAACUUACAGUCAGCCGUUCGUAUUACUCUUGACAUUUCGGAGGUCAUCUCUCUUUCUCCCCUCAACACACAGACUGGUCUGGCUCCACGAUUCAAAAUGAAAAAGCAAAAUGGCAACAAAUGUCAAGUGUAACAGUGAUUCUUUCAGACAAAGCACCAAGAGAGCAAAGCUAUUAAAAAUUUCAUUCUCUCUGCCCUUCCAUUUACUGGGCUGCAUUCUCUAUGUUACUAAAAUCAGCACCCUUGGAAGGAAUGGCCAGCACCACUGCCUGGGACAUAGCGCUGUUUCUGCAAAUGUGAGUCUAAGUGGAAUAAGACCCACAAAUAGCUCGUUUGGGAGUGACACGGCCUCAUGCAAGAGUCUUCUCACCACGGACCUUCUGACAGAAAUGUGGAAGCCCCUGGAGCCAAAGCGUAUGAGGUAGACCCAGAGAGGAGCCUUCACCCAAGCU